rnacentral:misc_RNA from 1 species
AAACUGCGAUAAGUAGUGUGAAUUGCAUUUAGUGAAUCAUCGAAUCUUUGAACGCACCUUGCACUCACUGGUAUUCCGGUGAGUACGCCUGUUUCAGUAUCAUUGAAAACACACAAUCAAAACAUUUUCUUUGGUUUGAUUGGCUUUGGGUCUAUCAAAAAGUUUGGCUUGUUUCUUACAAGCCAAGCGGCCUGAAAUAUAUUGUCUGGCUAAUUGCAUCGUUGAUGAUCGCUAUUAGACUUUGGCUUUUUUAAAUGAACUGGAGGUUGAUUAACCAGUUUUAGCUUUAGUCAAAUGGUAAUUGUAAAAAAAAUCUCGAUCUUGGCUAGGUGUUUAUAGCCGAAAAUUUUUUUUUGGCUAUAACCGAAACCAAUAUAAUCACAUUUAGUUAUCGAUCUGAAAUCAGGUGGGACUACCCGCUGAACUUAAGC